rnacentral:rRNA from 2 species
ACCUGAUUCCAUGCCGAACUCAGAAGUGAAACACAAUAGCGCCGAUGGUAGUGUGGGGUUUCCCCAUGUGAGAGUAGGACAUCGCCAGGC